rnacentral:lncRNA from 1 species
GCAGCAAUUGAGUUGGAGCAAGUGGCUUAUAAGCUGAUGAUGGCAGCUGCCAAUCGAAGGUCAGGUACCUCUUUGCCUGCCCAGAACAACGCACUGGCUCUGAGUGCGCCAAGCUCUGAAACGCUAUCCAAGACCGACAAAGUCUGAGUACCUCUUUGCUUGCCCAGAAUUGCGCCAAGCUCUGAAAUGCUAUCCGAGACGCAAGAUGGGAUGGAAUGGCUGAAUAUUGUUUCUUGGACCUGGUGUCUAGGGGCAUGUGCUAUGUACGAACUGCUGUCUUGGACCUCUUAUACUUCUCUGUUUUGCUAUCAUUGUUUUCUUAUGGCCAUGUGCUAUGUACGAACUGCUGCGACCUGUCGUAAUGAAUCUAUGCUCUUAUGCUAGUGCGUUCGAACUUAUUUAUUGAUUACUUCAAUUUGUCCAGUUUACAUGGUGCAGUAUCAAUUAUUGAUUGCUUGACUUAUGUCGUCCAAAUAUAUGUCAGGAAAGAAUUUGC